AAUUGAAUUUAACUCUGCAAAAUCUUAAAUCAAAAUUGAAUAAAAUGAUCUAAAACCGAACCAGUUUUAAUUUAUUAUUUUCUUUUUUAAAAUCCUGAUCCGCCGGUUCCGGGGGUCAGGUCGAGGUAAAAGUAAGGCAAAAAAAAAGCAUAUAGUUUCGGCAGGGUUCCUCGUUUUGCACCACACACACCUAUUGAACUCUGAUGAACGAGCGCUUCACCAGAAAGACGGAGAAAAGUAAAAUCGUGCACUUGGGCGUGCCCACGGGAGAGAGAUAGAGAAAGAGAUGAGUGCCACUACUGCCACUGCACAAUAACAGCG
rnacentral:misc_RNA from 1 species